rnacentral:rRNA from 1 species
GGUGCUUGCNCCUCUUGAGNNCGGCGGNCGGGUGAGUAAUGCCUAGGAAUCUGCCUGGUAGUGGGGGAUAACGCUCGGAAACGGACGCUAAUACCGCAUACGUCCUACGGGAGAAAGCAGGGGACCUUCGGGCCUUGCGCUAUCAGAUGAGCCUAGGUCGGAUUAGCUAGUUGGUGAGGUAAUGGCUCACCAAGGCGACGAUCCGUAACUGGUCUGAGAGGAUGAUCAGUCACACUGGAACUGAGACACGGUCCAGACUCCUACGGGAGGCAGCAGUGGGGAAUAUUGGACAAUGGGCGAAAGCCUGAUCCAGCCAUGCCGCGUGUGUGAAGAAGGUCUUCGGAUUGUAAAGCACUUUAAGUUGGGAGGAAGGGCAUUAACCUAAUACGUUAGUGUUUUGACGUUACCGACAGAAUAAGCACCGGCUAACUCUGUGCCAGCAGCCGCGGUAAUACAGAGGGUGCAAGCGUUAAUCGGAAUUACUGGGCGUAAAGCGCGCGUAGGUGGUUCGUUAAGUUGGAUGUGAAAGCCCCGGGCUCAACCUGGGAACUGCAUUCAAAACUGUCGAGCUAGAGUAUGGUAGAGGGGUGGUGGAAUUUCCCUGUGUAGCGGUGAAAUGCGUAGAUAUAGGAAGGAACACCAGUGGCGAAGGCGACCCACCUGGACUGAUACUGACACUGAGGUGCGAAAGCGUGGGGAGCAAACAGGAUUAGAUACCCUGGUAGUCCACNCCGUAAACGAUGUCAACUAGCCGUUGGGAGCCUUGAGCUCUUAGUGGCGCAGCUAACGCAUUAAGUUGNCCGCCUGGGGAGUACGGNCGCAAGGUUAAAACUCAAAUGAAUUGACGGGGGCCCGCACAANCGGUGGAGCAUGUGGUUUAAUUCGAAGCAACGCGAAGAACCUUACCAGGCCUUGACAUCCAAUGANCUUUCCAGAGAUGGAUUGGUGCCUUCGGGNNCNUUNANNCAGGUNCUGCAUGGCNGNNGNCAGCUCGUGUCGUNANAUGUUGGGUUAAGUCCCGUANNNNGNNCNACCCUUGUCCUUAGU